GUAGGGAAUAUUGGGCAAUGGAUGCAAGUCUGACCCAGCCAUCCCGCGUGCCGGAAGAAGGCCCUCAGGGUUGUAAACGGCUUUUGACGGUGAAGAAUCGACAGGAUGCGUCCUGCUUUGACGGUAGCCGUUGAAUAAGCACCGGCUAACUCCGUGCCAGCAGCCGCGGUAAUACGGAGGGUGCGAGCGUUGUCCGGAUUUAUUGGGUUUAAAGGGUGCGUAGGCUGGAAGGUCAGUCAGCGGUGAAAAGCUGUCGCUUAACGAUAGUCUUGCCGCAGAUACUUCCUUUCUUGGAUGAGGAGGAGGCCACUGGAACGGAUGGUGUAGCGGUGAAAUGCAUAGAUAUCAUCCAGAACACCGAUUGCGAAGGCAGGUGGCUGUACCUUAAUCGACGCUGAUGCACGAAAGCAUGGGGAGCAAACAGGAUUAGAAACCCGAGUAGUCC
rnacentral:rRNA from 1 species